AAAGAAAUAUACUUAAAAAAGCUUCUAACUUUUUAUAAAGCAUUAAAUUGUUUAU
rnacentral:tRNA from 1 species